rnacentral:pre_miRNA from 1 species
CAAAGACGGUGCUUACCUCAGCAACCGUCUUUGAAAGUAGGCAUUAUAAGACGUUGCUGAUGUAAGCACCGUCUUUGAAUGCCUACUUUCAAAGUCGGUGUUGAUGUAAGCACCGUCUUU